CCUCACAUUACAAACUUUCACUUCAUACUACUAAAGAACAUCAGCAUGAAUGACAGGAGAAGAAAAACAACUCCAAUUAUCAUUAUUAUCUUCACAUGGCUUUCAACAAGCAUCAUCCUCAUAUGUAGAUUAUUCUUCUCACACAGACACUUGCAUGUUGUUCCCCUCACCACUGUUGUCCCCAUUCCUUCAUUGUGUUCAUUAGUAUCAGUAAGUGUACCACUUGAGUUUGUUGUAGAAGGCAAGCACCAUGCCCAAAAUUCACAUUCAUCACAUACAAAAUACAAUUUUCC
rnacentral:lncRNA from 1 species